rnacentral:rRNA from 1 species
AACUUUUGACGGUGGAUCUCUUGACUCACGCAUCGAUGAAGAACGCAGCCAGCUGCGAUAAGUAGUGUGAAUUGCAGAAUUCAGUGAAUCAUCGAAUCUUUGAACGCAAAUGGCGCUCUUGGGUUCUCCCAGGAGCAUGUCUGUCUGAGUGUCGGAUA